rnacentral:ncRNA from 1 species
CUAGCCAGGCUCGACCUUGCUUAGCCUCCAAGAUGAGAGGAGAUUGGGCACAUUCAAGGUGGUAUGGCCAUAAAAGGUGAACCAGCCCAGAUCUUCCUGGAGUCAGGUUGCUUGGGAAUGCAGCCUAAAGCUGGUGGUAAACUCCAAUUAAGGCUAAAGACUGGCACAAGACCAAUAGUCAACCAGUACCACAAGGGAAAGUUGGAAAGAACUUUUGAAGGAAGAGUUCAAGAAGGCAUGAAACCUUAAGGGUAAACAGGUGGGGUCUGUGCAGUCCAUCCAGAGGAUUGAACUGGGCAGCCAGUCUGGCCCUGGUGGCAGUCCUGCAGAUCUUUCCCGCUCCUCCACAUCCCCCACUUUCUGAACCCAGAAAUAAAGCUGAAUACUUACAGGCAACUGAUUUUCAACAAAGCAAACAAAACAAAGUAUGGAAAGAACACGAUAUUCAAUAAAUGGUGCUGAGAUCAUUGGCAAGCCACAGGUUGGAGAAUGAACCUGGAUCCUCAUCUCUCACCUUACAGAAAAG